rnacentral:rRNA from 1 species
CUGGUGGAUGCCUUGGCGCCAAGAGGCGAUGAAGGACGUGGUACGCUGCGAUAAGCCGUGGGGAGCUGCGAACAAGCUUUGAUCCGCGGAUUUCCGAAUGGGGAAACCCGGCCCUUUAGGGUCAUCGUACGGUGAAUCCAUAGCCGUGCGAGGCGAACCCGGGGAACUGAAACAUCUCAGUACCCGGAGGAAAGGACAUCAACCGAGACUCCGUUAGUAGUGGCGAGCGAACGCGGACUAGCCCAGUGGCUCAGACAAGCGAACCGGAACCGGCUGGAAAGCCGGGCCAGAGCGGGUGACAGCCCCGUACGGGUAGGAGCUUGUUUGGGUCCUCGAGUAGGGCGGGACACGUGAAAUCCUGUCUGAACAUGGGGGGACCACCCUCCAAGCCUAAGUACUCCUCAGCGACCGAUAGUGAACCAGUACCGUGAGGGAAAGGCGAAAAGAACCCCGGAGAGGGGAGUGAAAUAGAACCUGAAACCGGAUGCGUACAAGCAGUCGGAGCCCGUUCGUCGGGUGACGGCGUACCUUUUGUAUAAUGGGUCAGCGACUUAG